UAGAUUGGCGUCACAUCCUGACAUGGUUACUUGUCCUAGUGUGCUAGAGUUCUUGAAGAGGAUCUGCUGGUCUUGGUUCACCAGUGGAGGCAGUCAGUGCCUCUAUUGGCACCCUGAUCAGAAACAUGC
rnacentral:snoRNA from 1 species